rnacentral:misc_RNA from 1 species
CACAUCAGAGAGUGGGCAGAGAACGGUCUGUAGCUAUGCAUGGAAAUAUGAUGGAGGCGCCGGUUCUAGCUCUGGAAGAUGGUGCUGCUAUCAGUGUUGGUGAUGGGCUGCUGACCUCAUCUGGACCUUCCUCGCCUCAGCACAGAAGUUUGGCUGAGCCGCUGGAGAAGGCUGGGUUGAGCUCACCCCUUUCUGCCACUCAAGUGCCAUGCAUGACAACCUCGAAGAUUAACUUAGCUGGGCCGUCUGGGUCGGCUGCUGUAGGCACGCUGGAUUCAGUCCUCCCUGUUUCGCCCCAGCGACACGGGGCUGUUGUUGGGUCGCUGGAACAGGCUGGUGCGAAUUCGCUCCAUCCUGGUGGUUUUGAUUUUACACUCGAGGCGUCUUCUGUCAGAAUGGGGGUGUUGUCGGUUGCUGGGACUAUUUCCCCACGGGCUCUGCUUGUCUAUUCUAGAAGACGCCCCAUUCUCGCAGAUGUUGGUGCGGACUCUGUUUCUAGGACAGCAGACCGGGUGGAUGAUCUCGAGCUUAGUUCUCCAACGGGAAGGCAAGAGCUACUAGAGGGACAGACGGGGGAUGAUUGCUCCACUGACUGUAUUUCGGCAUCAGUUUUGGAUACCACGACUUCAGAUGUUGACCAUUCGCUGGUGCAGGAUUUUUUGG